GUCGCAACAAUUUUAACGCUGCUAUAACCUAUCGGAAUAAUUUAUCAUUUCGAUGAAGGAGCUUUGGCAGUUAAUUAUUUUUACGACUGUCUCCUGCAUCCUGUCGUGGAGUGUCAUUGUAUUGAAAACUGGAGAUUAUUGAACGAGAUCAUAUUUUGUUUUUACGGUAUAAACAUGAAAGGAGCAGUGUGGUUGAAUUGAUAUUCUUUGAAAUUUCACUGACGAAGUACAUCGAAUAUAUCAGUCUGUCAGAGAAAAUACCUAGGAACAUCAUUCUUCAAAGUCGAGGGUGAAAAUGUGAAACAGACUGAGGAGGCGAAUCCAGGCUUCACACUGGGCCUGCAGCACAAAAACAAUUAAAUAAAUAAAAAAUAUAAUAAAUUGAUCUCAAAAUAUAACUAGAAAAUACGAAACUAGAAUUAUAAUAAAUACGUAGACCAAAUUAUUAAAUACAUAGCCCAAAU